CGGCCGGGUAAUACCGCAUACGGUGGUUCUUUCGCAUGGAAGGACUAGCAAAGCCGUGCAGCAAUGCACUGGCGCCACAGGGGGGGCUCGCGGCCUAUCAGCUAGUUGGGGGGGUAAUGGCCCACCAAGGCGACGACGGGUAGCUGGUCUGAGAGGAUGGCCAGCCACACUGGAACUGAGACACGGUCCAGACUCCUACGGGAGGCAGCAGUGGGGAAUCUGCCCAUUGGCCAAAAGCCUGUUGCAGCGACGCCGCGUGGGGGAUGAAGCUUCUCGGAGUGUAAACCCCUUUCGACCGGGACGAAUACCUCGCAAGAGGGGUGACGGUACCGGUAUAAGAAGCCCCGGCUAACUACGUGCCAGCAGCCGCGGUAAGACGUAGGGGGCCAGCGUUGCUCGGAAUUACUGGGUGUAAAGGGUUCGUAGGCGGUGUGGCAAGUCGGGAGUGAAAUCUCUGGGCUCAACCCAGGGGCUGCUUCCGAAACUGCCG
rnacentral:rRNA from 1 species